rnacentral:misc_RNA from 1 species
UGAAGAGCUACAGCCCGGUGG